rnacentral:rRNA from 1 species
GAUGAACGCUGGCGGCGUGCCUAAUACAUGCAAGUCGAGCGAACAGACGAGGAGCUUGCUCCUCUGACGUUAGCGGCGGACGGGUGAGUAACACGUGGAUAACCUACCUAUAAGACUGGGAUAACUUCGGGAAACCGGAGCUAAUACCGGAUAAUAUAUUGAACCGCAUGGUUCAAUAGUGAAAGACGGUUUUGCUGUCACUUAUAGAUGGAUCCGCGCCGCAUUAGCUAGUUGGUAAGGUAACGGCUUACCAAGGCGACGAUCCGAAGCCGACCUGAGAGGGUGAUCGGCCACACUGGAACUGAGACACGGUCCAGACUCCUACGGGAGGCAGCAGUAGGGAAUCUUCCGCAAUGGGCGAAAGCCUGACGGAGCAACGCCGCGUGAGUGAUGAAGGUCUUCGGAUCGUAAAACUCUGUUAUUAGGGAAGAACAAAUGUGUAAGUAACUAUGCACGUCUUGACGGUACCUAAUCAGAAAGCCACGGCUAACUACGUG